UGAGGAAUAUUGCACAAUGGGCGCAAGCCUGAUGCAGCAACGCCGCGUGAGGGACGAAGGCCUUCGGGUCGUAAACCUCUUUUCUGGGGGACGAGUAAGGACGGUACCCCAGGAAUAAGUCUCGGCUAACUACGUGCCAGCAGCCGCGGUAAAACGUAGGAGUCGAGCGUUAUCCGGAUUUACUGGGCGUAAAGCGUACGCAGGUGGCUUCGUUAGUCGGACAUGAAAGCUCCUGGCUUAACUGGGAGAGGUUGUUCGAUACUGCGGGGCUUGAGGUUGAGAGAGAGACGUGGAAUUCCCGGUGUAGUGGUGGAAUGCGUAGAUAUCAGGAGGAACACCAGUGGCGCAAGCGGCGUCCUGGCCCACACCUGACGCUGAGGUACGAAAGCGUGGGUAGCA
rnacentral:rRNA from 1 species